rnacentral:rRNA from 1 species
UGGGGAAUUUUGGACAAUGGGCGAAAGCCUGAUCCAGCAAUGCCGCGUGUGUGAAGAAGGCCUUCGGGUUGUAAAGCACUUUUGUCCGGAAAGAAAUCCUUGGCUCUAAUACAGUCGGGGGAUGACGGUACCGGAAGAAUAAGCACCGGCUAACUACGUGCCAGCAGCCGCGGUAAUACGUAGGGUGCAAGCGUUAAUCGGAAUUACUGGGCGUAAAGCGUGCGCAGGCGGUUUGCUAAGACCGAUGUGAAAUCCCCGGGCUCAACCUGGGAACUGCAUUGGUGACUGGCAGGCUAGAGUNUGGCAGAGGGGGGUAGAAUUCCACGUGUAGCAGUGAAAUGCGUAGAGAUGUGGAGGAAUACCGAUGGCGAAGGCAGCCCCCUGGGCCAAUACUGACGCUCAUGCACGAAAGCGUGGGGAGCAAACAGGAUUAGAUACCCUGGUAGUCCACGCCCUAAACGAUGUCAACUAGUUGUUGGGGAUUCAUUUCCUUAGUAACGUAGCUAACGCGUGAAGUUGACCGCCUGGGGAGUACGGUCGCAAGAUUAAAACUCAAAGGAAUUGACGGGGU